AUACUGCCACGUAGGCGCCACGUCAGCGAAACCGCCUUCCAAAACCGUCGAGGGAGUCAAAUUGCACCGGUUUUGAGAGUUUGGGGGUCGAAAUAUCUGGUUUUGUGGUUUAGGGUUACGGAUUAGAUUUCGAUCACUUUUAAGGGUCACAAAGUGAACUUAUUCCUUUAAUUAGCUGCGGGUGCAUUGUGGUAGCCCACGG
rnacentral:misc_RNA from 1 species